CUCGGUGUGAAAAACUCCGGUGGUAUGGGAUGGGCCCGCGUCUGAUUAGGCAGUUGGCGGGGUAACGGCCCACCAAACCGACGAUCAGUAGCCGGCCUGAGAGGGCGACCGGCCACAUUGGGACUGAGACACGGCCCAAACUCCUACGGGAGGCAGCAGUGGGGAAUAUUGCACAAUGGGGGAAACCCUGAUGCAGCAACGCCGCGUGAGCGAAGAAGUAUUUCGGUAUGUAAAGCUCUAUCAGCAGGGAAGAUAAUGACGGUACCUGACUAAGAAGCCCCGGCUAACUACGUGCCAGCAGCCGCGGUAAUACGUAGGGGGCAAGCGUUAUCCGGAUUUACUGGGUGUAAAGGGAGCGUAGACGGCAAGGCAAGUCUGAUGUGAAAACCCAGGGCUUAACCCUGGGACUGCAUUGGAAACUGUCUGGCUCGAGUGCCGGAGAGGUAAGCGGAAUUCCUAGUGUAGCGGUGAAAUGCGUAGAUAUUAGGAAGAACACCAGUGGCGAAGGCGGCUUACUGGACGGUAACUGACGUUGAGGCUCGAAAGCGUGGGGAGCAAACAGGAUUAGAUACCCUGGUAGUCCACGCCGUAAACGA
rnacentral:rRNA from 1 species